UUAAGUCUCUGAAACGUGAGAGGAACCUGAGGAAACCCACAGUCCACGGGGAGAAUGUACCGAUUCUUUCCAGAUGGUGGGGGAACUGAACCCGUGGCAGUGGCACUGUUAGGGUGUUAUUCCAGCCACUGCCCUAACAUGUCGCCCACAAAGAGACGUAGUAAAUGUUAAAUCAAUGCAGACAAAAUACUGCAGGAACUCGGCAGGUCAGGCAGCACCACUGAAAUCAACAACUAGUUGAAUUUUUCGUGAUGAGACCCUUCAUCAGGACUGGAAAGGAUGGGGGAAGAUGCCAGAAUAAAAAGGUGGUGGGAGGUGGAGUAUAACGAGAAGGUGAUAGGUGAAGCCAGGCGGGCGAAGGCAAGGUAAAGGGCUGAAGUGGAAGGAUCUGAUAGGAGAGGAGAGUAGACCAUAGGAGAAAGGGAAGGAGGAGGAAGAAAACCGGAGGAGGUGAUAUGCAGGUAGGAAGAAGAAAGAGGCUAGAGUGGGAAAUAGAAGAAGAGGGGAGGGAGGGAAAUUUUUUUUUCUCAGAAGGAGAAAUCGAAAUCCAUGCCAUCAGGUUGGAGGCAACCCAGACAGAAUAUGAGGUGUUUCUCCUCCACCCUGAGGGUGGCCUCAUCGUGGCACAAGAGGAGACAAUGGACCACGAGGACGGCACAGGAACCGGAAUUAAAAUGUUGGGCCGCCGGGAAGUCCCGCUUGUGCUCGACAAGGCAGUCACCCAAUUAAUGACGGUUCUCACCAUUGUAGUGGAAGCCACAUCGGGAGCACCCGGUACAACAGACGAACCCAGCAGAUUCACAGGUGAACGGGGAAAGUGUAGAACUUCGGCCAUGCCGGGAUGUGCCGGGAGGGAAAUUAAUAGGGGGGUACAAAUGGACAAGAGAAUCACAGAGGGAGCGAUCACCGCGGGAAGCAGGGAGUGGUGGGGGAAGGAUCCCUUUGGGAAUGGUGGACAUUACUGAGAAUGGUGUGUUGGUUGUGGAGGUUCGAGGGUAGGAACUAAGGGCAAGAGGAACUCUAACACUGUUAAGGCAGCAGGACGAUGGGGCGAAUGGAGGGCAGCACCAAUGGUGGAGGAACAGAAACCCCGUUCUUUAAAAACGUUAAAUAUUUAAUCAAUUUAUAAACUGCUUUGCUCAUAUGAAGAUACUGCAGAGCAGUUCUUGAUCGGAAGCAUGCAGAUGAUUGGAACCUGGAACUCAUUGCCUGAGGGGGUGGUGGACUCCGCUAAUCGCACAAGAUUACAAUGGGGUAGAAUACCAUGGACUAGCUGAUGUAAAGGGGCUUUAGAUAGGUAUGUGAGAGGUUGCAUGGACAUGGUGAGACAAAGCAGUUAUUUCUAUGCUAAGAGACUCUGUGGAAAGGCAUUCUAGUGGAUCCAUGUCUUCAGACCAAACACUCUUUGGACCAACAAAAAAUGCAGAGGUAUUUCUAGAUUAUUCUAAGUACACUUGACAACAAAGAUUUUGCUUCCUGAAUAUUUUUGGGUGUAUCUUAUGGAUUUUGGGCUGCUGAUCAUGAAAAUUGCCAGCAAUACACAUAAAGGUUGCUGGUGAACGCAGCAGGCUAGGCAGCAUCUCUAGGAAGAGGUACAGUCAACGUUUCCGGCCGAGACCCUUCGUCAGGACUAACUGAAAGAAGAAUUGCCAUUAAGUUUCUCAAUCAGGCACAAUUUUUUUUUUUAAUCCACUAUUUUGUUACUUCAAUUCAUAAUUCAAAUCAAUUAAAAUAUUGCCCACAAUGCAACAUGAAAAGUUUUCCAUCUUGUCCAGGCAUAACUGGGCAUGCUUAGACAGGGUGGGUGCAGCAUGACAGGACAGGUUUUAGAAAGGCUCUAACUUUCUGCGAAGGGUUUUGAUAUUUGAGAUAGAUGUUUCCCAGAAUAACUGAUGCCAGGAUUAAAGGAAGGCAUUUUGUUGAUCCACAAAUCUAACAGGUUAUCAAUGAUAGGUAAUGCGAAGAACUUCCAAUGGGACUGGAGAAAACCACAUGGAAGGCAUUCAAGGAUAUUGUUGAAAAUUUUCUUGGCAACUACAGAGCACCAAACUUAUGUGCAGCUGGUUGACAAUAUGCUUCAAGCAUACAAAACCAUGAAAUGCAACAUGUCACUAAAGAUUCAUCUUCUACAUUCCCAUUUAGACUUCCUCCCUGCAAAUCUUGGCACUAUCCGUGACAAGCAUGGUGAAAGGUUUCACCAGGGCAUUGUGCUCAUGGAGAAACGGUAUCAGAAAACUGGAAUCCAUCAAUGCUGGCUGAUUAUUGUUGGACACGUGAGAAGCCUCAGACACUGAGUACAAAUAAAAAUCAUCAAUAAAACAUUUUUAGCUUAGCUGAACAAUUGCGAAGCUUCAGGACCAUUAUGCAAUUUAUACGCAUUAUAUUCAAUAAAAGUUAAUUUCAUGCUUCUCCAAAUUCCAAAGUGAUACAAGUAAUCUGAAAUUGUAUCUGUGUUCAGCUUCAAGUAGUCUAUCAUUAACAAAAAAAAAUUAUGAGGAAGCAAUAGCAACUGUUCCGAAAAAAACUGUGGUCCAGUGAUACUUGUGUGGAGAUUGAAACCGCAUUUCAAAAUUACACCAGCAAACAUUAAUUUUAAACUCAUUAAGUGGAAGUGCAGAAAAUGAAUCAAAUGAGCCCUAACAAUUAUACUGGUAUGAAGGAGGAGAGCACUGACGAUAUUUACUUUGGCACUGUGCACAAAGUACUGAGAGCGGGUGGCAGGCACAAUAGCAAAUAUGAUUGGCUGAUUAGAAAUUUGCACUAACAAGCAGGUGUACAGGAGCCUAAUAAAGUGGCCACUGAGUGUAUUUCUCAAUACAUCAGACUUAUUCCAAUUUUAAUUUCCUGCUCUGUAAGACGUUGAUUGAACUUUGCAGUUUUCUGAUACUGUACCCAAUUGGCCGCUCAGCCAGCUUACUGACGUCACUGUUGCCGGACUACCCAGCAUGCACGUCUGACAGCAGUCAACAAGGAAAAGGUGGUGAUCGUGCCACAGGGAUCACGUGAGCAGCUUUCUUUGAAGGAUGCAAAAUACAGACUAAGAUCUCAACUCUAGCCUGCUGAAAUAAAUUAGAAAUGUUUCAAACUGAAGCAGAUGCGGUGCAAAGCAUACAUCUUUCAAAAAGGCUGUUAAAAGGAAGGAUGUGGAAGCUUUAGAGAGGCUGCAAAGGAGAUUUACCAAGAUGCUGGACCUUGGACUAGAGAGCAUGUCUUAUGAAGAAAGGCUGAGCCAGCCUGGGCUCUUCUCUUUGGAGCGAAGGAGGAUGAGAGGUUAAUCGAAUGGCCUUCGCUUUUGCAAUGGAUUUGUACAGGCAUAAAAGGAGCUGUGCUCUCUGUAUCGUUUGGAGUUUGAACUCACUGUUGGAGGUUCCACUCCCCAUGACACUAUGAAUAAAAGCUCUCUUUACUUCGAAGUCCAUGUCUAAUUUACUUGCGA